AACCAUGCAAGUCGAGCGGAACGAGUUAUCUGAACCUUCGGGGGACGAUAACGGCGUCGAGCGGCGGACGGGUGAGUAAUGCCUAGGAAAUUGCCCUGAUGUGGGGGAUAACCAUUGGAAACGAUGGCUAAUACCGCAUGAUGCCUACGGGCCAAAGAGGGGGACCUUCGGGCCUCUCGCGUCAGGAUAUGCCUAGGUGGGAUUAGCUAGUUGGUGAGGUAAGGGCUCACCAAGGCGACGAUCCCUAGCUGGUCUGAGAGGAUGAUCAGCCACACUGGAACUGAGACACGGUCCAGACUCCUACGGGAGGCAGCAGUGGGGAAUAUUGCACAAUGGGCGCAAGCCUGAUGCAGCCAUGCCGCGUGUGUGAAGAAGGCCUUCGGGUUGUAAAGCACUUUCAGUCGUGAGGAAGGUAGUGUAGUUAAUAGCUGCAUUAUUUGACGUUAGCGACAGAAGAAGCACCGGCUAACUCCGUGCCAGCCGC
rnacentral:rRNA from 1 species